rnacentral:lncRNA from 1 species
CAAAAGGUGAAGAUUCUUUUCUUUUGGACUUAUACAUGCAUAUUCGUUUUUAUGAAUUUCAGGUGUCUGAGUUUUUAGUUAUAAACUUGGAUCUAUUCUUCAAAUCAUGUGUAUAUCAUUUUUAUGCUAUUUCACACUUGCAAAACAAAUGGUGCGAGCGUGCAUGUUAUAUGCAGAAUACAUAGAUUAAUUACAUGUGGAUCAUUAAGCAUGCCUAUGUUUGACGAUUGUGUGUGGCUACCUUUUUUUACAUGAUCCAAUUUUCGAUAUGCUUUGCUUUUAGGUUGAAUGCGGAAAAGAUUAGAACUUAAUUUCCAGCAUAAUGAUUUGUCUUGGAUAUGCAGAUUUUACAUGCAUUUCUUACAAGUCAAUAUUUUAUAGAUUUGGGCAUGUUUAUCACAAUCUUCAGCCACGUGUGACAAGGACACUGCUCCACGCUUUUUUGGACCCAACGAAAACAUUUCCCCAGUAUUACGGAGCAAUUCAAGGGUUAGCAGCCCUUGGACCCAGUGUGGUAUAAUUCUAAUCUCAAAUAUUUACUAGCAACACAAUAAGAUACUUGUUUGUGGGAUCAAUUGGUCAAAGAUAUUGCAAUGAUAGCCAUCUUUUUAAGCCCAUUUCUUUCAGAAAACUGUUUUGUCACUCUUUUCUGCAAGAUCCGAAGAAAGAAAGAACAUGGAAAUCUUUAGUCCAAAAGUGUAAAUAUGCGGUUUCUCUAUAGCUAUCUUGAUUAUGGCAUCUGUAAAGUUUGUCUUUCAUAUGUUUGGCUAACGCUUCUUCAUCCAUAUGUAGGUUCGUUUACUUAUACUACCAAACCUUGAAGCGUAUUUGCAGCUUCAUGAACCUGAAAUAAAAAGACACGAGGCCUGGUGUUUUUAUGGGGCCCUGCUGGUAAGUUUAACAUCAAAUUUGGUACCAGUUUACGAGCAUCAUUUCAUUUAUUUGCUAUAGAACUAACAACACUGCAUAAAAUUUCCACUAAAAGCGUGCAGCUGGACUGUGCAUGUAUGAUCGGCUUAAAAUGUUCCCCAGUUUGCUAGCACCCCCAACUCGGCCCGUCUGGAAAAGCAACAACAAAGUUGCGACAAGUAUGAUUUCUUCGAACCAUCAUAUUUACACUUAAUCCACAGGUCUCUUCUCCCCCUUUACGAUUUUCCUUUUUCUGAUCAAUCAAGAUAAACGAAAAGCAAGCACGGACGCCUUGAUGCAGCAGCAACCACCUGCGAAGAAAAUAGCAACUGAGAGUGCAAUAGGUAUGAUGCCAAUAAAUUCCAUGCAAACUGAUUUACAAGGGGCAGUUAGCAGCUUUUCUACCACCGUAGGAGGUUCCAAUAUCGGUGUAUCAUCAAUGUCACGGCCGUUAUCAAACGAUAACAUGCUAGGAAGGGAGGUUGGGGGUCGAGUUUCAAGGACAUCAACCGUUCUAGCUCAGGCUUGGAAGGAAGACACAGACCCAGGGAACUUGUUAGCAUCAUUAUUUGAACUUUUUGGUGAAAGUAUGUAAUUAAAAUAAUAUAUUGGCUUAACCCUCCUAAAUUAUGUAUUUUUUUCCAUCUUGGGACCUAAAUUUUUUUGGGGUCAUAAGUGGUACCUAAACUACAUUUUUUCUCCUUCAAAUUAGUAUCUUCAUUAAUUAAACCGUUAAGUCUAUUUAAAAAAGAAAGACUCGAACAACAAAUUAAUACCUAAACAGUGCUCUUUUUCUCAAGGUACCUAAUUUUUAUUUUGGCCAUAAGUACUACUAAAACUAUUCUUCCGUUACUCAUUUUACACCAAAAUGUUAUAUCGGCUGAAAAGAUUCCAACAAAUAAUAGAUUGUAUGUUAUAUAAACUUUUAAAAAUAAUUAUUAUUUAAUUAAUUUUUUAUAUUUUUCUUUCUUAUUCCUUUCUAAUGUUUGGCAAUGCUGAUAAUGUUUGAAAUUGUCCCACUUGAGGUCAAAAUACUGGUGAUUAAUUUUGGUUUUGAAUUUCACCACCUACUUCUUUGACCUAAGGGGAUAGAAAAUGUUCUUUUAUCGAUCAAAACUAGUAUUUUCAAAAACAGAUUGAUUCAACUGGUUGGAUAGGAAAUCGGUCUGGAAAUAAGGGUUGAAUCGAUUGACUUGCGACCAAAAACAAAUCAGUUGAACUAAGUUAAAAAAACUGGUUGAACUAGUUCUCUCCAUUUAUAUAUAUAUAAAUAAUAAUAGUCUUUUUUUGUACUAUAUGUCAAUUUUUAAUUGGUUAAUUUUUUUUUUCAUAUAAACUGAACGGUUUGACUAAUGACGGAGGUACCAAAUUAUAGUCUAGGUACCAAUUCAUGGGUUAAGCCUAUUUCUACAAUAGACUUUUGACUAAUGGCGGUAGUAACUUGGGAAAAAAAAAGUAGUUUAUGUACCACUUGUGACAAAAAAUAAGUUUAGGUACUAUCAUGGGAAAAUGAGUAUAAUUUAGAUACUAAUUUAUGAGUUAAGCCUAAUAUAUUUGCCACAUCAUUUUUUGAAAAUAACAGAACUUAAUAAAUUUAACGGUUAUUAUUUGAUGAUGACUAAAAUUUUUAAAUUUGAAAAGUACAUGAACUAAAAAUGACCAAAUUAAAGUAUAAAGAUUAAGUCCACAACUUUUGCAAAGUACAAGGACUAAUAGCAGAAAUUAACCUAAAUUUCAUAUGGGUCAAUUACAAUAAUAAUCACUAAACUAUUCCUUUGGUUCUAUUCUAGUCACUCAACUAUAGAGCUGCUCAUGAGCCGGGCCAGGUUAGGCCUAAGCAUGAUAUUAACGUACUUUAUGCUUGCUCAAGCUUGGCUCGGCCCGAAAUAUGAGCUUAAAAUUUCGCCUAAACUCAUCAAUAUUUGCAAAAGACUAACCCAAGCUCAUUUUAGGCAUGCCCAUAUAAUUUUUAGUUUUUUUUUUUUAAAUAUUUAUAUUAUAUUAUUUUAAGAAUUAAUAAUUUGAACUAUAGUAUUAUUAUAUAUUUAGUAUAAGUUUAUUUUUUAAUCUGUUCUAAAUUAUAUAAUAUAAAAUAUUAUACACUUAAAAACGGGCCGGGCUGGGCUCGAGCUUUAAAUGUUCAAGUCUUAACCCGGCCCAUAUUUUAAACGGGCUUAAUUUUUUUACCAAAACCCAAUUUUCGGGCCUAAUUUUUUUACUCAGACCCUCCCAAAUUUUGGGCUGCCCUUGGGCUUUGGCAAGUAGCCCAACUCAUGAACAAGUUUACUCAACUAUUAAUUUUUUCGAUUUAGUUGUUAACCUUUUCGAAAGUAAAUAUUUUAGUCAUUCUCCUAUUAGUUGUUGUUAAACGAGUGACGGAAAGCUGAUGUGGGCUUUUUUUAUUAGUCUAAUAACAAAUUUAGCCCUCCAAUGUUUACACAUUCUAUCAAUUUGAUCCUAGAUAUAAAAAAAUCAACAAAUUUAGCCCUGAAUGUUAACAAAACUUGUCAUUUUAGUUCAAAUUCUAAAAAAUUUAAUAAAUUUAACCCUUAAUAUUUUCAAAAAUUAGCAAUUUAGUUCUAAUUCUAAAAAUUUUAAUAUAUAUAUUUAAAAAAAUAUUUUUAAUCAUCUGUCUCACCCUUUGAUUUUUUAGAUGAGCUAAAAUCAAAAUGAGAUAAAAAAAAAUAAAAAGUUAAAAUGACUUUUCGUUUGUAAAGUUAAAAAAUGCUAAAUAAAUCAUUAUGUCUUUUUAGUUUUAAUUUUUUACUUGAUUAAAAGAGAAAUAAUUAACAAAUGAAAAAUAAUUAUUUCUAUAUAAAUUUAUCAAAAUUUAUAACAAAUGAUAUUUUAGAUUUGAAUUAUCAGACUAUAUAUAUAUAAGUAUACACAUUUUUAUGAAAUAAAAGAUUUUGCUAAAAGAAAAAGCAUCCAAUUUUAAGAAUGAAAAAUAUAUGGUAAAAGCAUCCAUAACUUUUCAAUGUUAAAGACAAAAAAGACUGUAACACCAAUGUUGUGGUAUUAUUUGUUGCCUAUAAAUACCAUUCCUAUCCUUCUUCUUCCUCUACCAACAUAACAUGGCCUCCUAUCUCUUUCUCUCCCUAUUCCUCUUCUUUCUCCAUCUUUAUGCUUCUUUUUCUUCUUCAGGAUCUCACUCCUGCUCUUCACUAAUCCAGUUUAAGGACUCCUUUUCCAUAAGAGAGGAUGCUUCUUUUGAUCAUUGCGAUUAUUUUGCUGGCCUUAAAUCUUAUCCCAAGACAAAUUCAUGGAAGGAGGGUACAGAUUGCUGCUCAUGGGAUGGGGUCACUUGUGACCACCUAAAUGCUCAUGUUAUUGCCCUUGACUUGAGCUGCAGUUGGCUAUAUGGCACCUUCCCUUCCAAUACCACUCUCUUCCUUCUUCCUCACCUUCAAAAACUCAACCUUGCCUACAAUGAUUUUAAUUCUUCCAAAAUUCCAUCCGAGUUCGGUCGGUUUACAAGCCUAUUCUACCUCAACCUUUCCAAUACAUGGUUUUCAGAAGUCCCAUCCCAAGUCUCCCACCUGUCAAAAUUGGUUUCACUUGAUCUUUCUGGGUUUGAUGAACUAUUAACAAUUGACAAAUAUGCUCUGGAGGGUCUUGUUCACAACCUAACCGAGGUCAGACGUCUGUUUUUGGAUGAAAUGGACAUGUCUUCAGUUAAUGCUCAUGUCUUCAUGAAUCUAUCCUCUUCUCUAAGGUCUCUCAGUCUUGUUGGUUGUGAUUUGCAAGGAAAAUUCCCAAAAAACAUUUUUGAUUUGCCAAACCUCAAUCUCCUCAACUUGGGAGGCAACCAAAACCUCAAUCUUGAUCCUUUGAAGUUCAAUCGGAGCAGCAAUCUUGAACAAUUGAUAAUUUCAGACGCAAAUAUUUGUGGAGGAUUGCCUGACUCGAUGGGGAAUCUUGUGUCCUUGAAGUUUUUAGUUCUCUCCCAUUCCAACUUAUCAGGACUGGUUCCAAGAUCACUGGGGAAUCUCUUGAAACUCACUCAUUUAGACUUGUCGGAGAACCAAUUGAGUGGACAAAUUCCAAGAAAAUUGGGGAACCUCUUGCAACUCACUCAUUUAGACUUGUCGAAGAACCAAUUGAGUGGACAAAUUCCAAGAUCAUUAGGGAACCUCUUGCAACUCACUCAUUUAGACUUGUGGCUGAACCAAUUGAGUGGACAGAUUCCAAGAUCAUUGGGGAACCUCUUGCAACUCACUGUUUUAGACUUGGGAUGGAACAAAUUGAGUGGACAAAUUCCAUUGUCAAUUCUAAACCUAACGCAGCUGGAAUACUUGACAAUAUCUAACAAUUCUUUAGAAGGUUCCAUUCCAGAUGAGGUAACCGCUUUUCAUAAUCUAAUAUAUUUAGACUUAUCUGACAAUUUACUCAAUGGAACACUGCCGUCAUGGUUGUAUACUGCUCCCUCCUUAAAGACAAUAUAUCUCUCUCAAAAUCAAUUCAGUGGGCAUAUCAAAGAAUUCCAAUCCAAAUCACUAGAAUGGAUAUGGUUAGAGAAUAAUAAACUCCAAGGUCCUCUUCCAUCUUCAAUAUUCCAACUUCUCAAUCUUACCCAACUUAGCUUAUCCUCAAAUUAUCUUAGUGGUGUCAUAGAGUUUCGCAUGUUCUCAAACCUUCCAAAUCUCGAAUAUCUUGACCUUUCAUAUAACAGCCUAUCCUUAACAUCUAAUACAACUUCUACUGUUAAUCUUACAAGCUUAUUUUUGUCAUCUUGCAAUCUUAGUGAAUUCCCCCAAUUUUUAAAAGGGCUUAAAAGUUUGGAAAGCUUAGACCUCUCUUGCAACAAAAUUGAAGGCAAGAUUCCACAGUGGAUGCGAGAGGUGGGGAAUGGCUCUUUGACUCACUUAAAUGUAUCUCACAACACUUUGACAGAAGUUGAGCACUUUCCAUGGAAGAAUAUUGAUGUUCUUGACUUAAGCUCCAAUUUGAUCAGUGGAAAUCUUCCGAUUCCAGCUUCGACCAUAAGAGUCUUUUUGAUCUCAAAUAAUAGUUUCAAUGGAGAGGUCUCUUCUUUAAUAUGCAAUGCCGCUUUUCUUGAAAUUCUUGAUUUGUCCCACAAUAACUUGAGUGGAACAAUUCCACAAUGUUUUGGAAAUUUGAGCAACAGCCUUCUAUUCUUGAAUCUGAAGAAGAACAAGUUUUAUGGGACGAUUCCUCCAGCAUUUGCAAAGGGAUGCCGAUUGAGUAAUUUCAACUUAAAUGGAAAUCUGUUAGAAGGGCCUUUGACACCAUCCAUGAUCCAUCCUUAAUUGUAAUGGUCUGGAAGUGCUAGAUCUUGGUAACAACAAGAUCAAUGAUACAUUUCCUCAUUGGUUGGGAAGUCUUCCACAGCUACAAGUUCUUGUAUUGAAGUCAAAUCAACUGCAUGGUUCCUUAUGUGUCAAUAGCUCCAAGUCUAUCCCUUUUUUCUCUAAAAUCCAAAUUUUUGAUCUCUCAAGUAAUUAUUUUUCUGGACCCCUACCAGUGAGAUACAUCAACAGCUUCAAGGCUAUCAUAAAUCUAGAGAAGAUUGGGAGUACAAUGUCGUACAUGGGGGUGUAUGCUCAGAGAGGUAGUGCCUUCUAUACCCAUUCCAUUGGAAUUGUUAUGAAAGGACAAGAUAGGGAAUUGGUGAAAAUUUUCACCAUGUGGAUGAUCAUUGAUCUAUCAAACAAUCAGUUUCAAGGGGGUAUUCCAAAGGUUAUUGUGAAGCUUAACUUGCUGAAAGGGCUCAACCUUUCUCAUAAUAACCUUAAUGGUGGUAUCCCCACCUCAAUAGGGAAUUUGACAAGUCUUGAAUGGUUAGACCUAUCUUCAAACAGUUUGUCUGGGACGAUUCCAAAUAGAUUGGCAGAUCUGCCAUUUCUUUCGUCCUUCAAUGUUUCUGAAAAUCAACUCCAUUGUCAGAUUCCUCAAGGCAAACAGUUCAACACAUUUGGAAAUGAUUCAUAUGAAGGAAACAAGGGAUUAUGUGGAUUUCCGGUCUCAAAAGGUUGCAACAUCAUUGAGCCAGCACCUCUAAAUGUGCUUGAAAAAGAUGGCUCAAAAUCAAACAUUACUUUUGGUUGGAAAGUGGUGUUGAUAGGUUAUGGAUGCGGAGUGGUGUUCGGAAUGUCCGUGGGAUAUGUUGUUUUCCAAACUGGUAAGCCGAAAUGGUUGGUGAAUUUGGUUGAAAUCCAACAUGAGAAGAAGCGAAGAAGAAAGUCAAAGGAUGGCAGUCGCAGCAAUGGAUGAAGAAGGAUCUAGUUAGUGGAAAUGAUGUUCAAGUGUUGAUGUUGUAUCUUCAUAAUUUCUUGUUUUGAAGUCUUUCAAUUUUUUUCCUAUGGUGAAAGGUUGCAUUGCCAUGCAUCUGUCUUUACUUUUGUAACAAUUCAUCUGUCAUAAUAUUAUAGAUUUUAUUGAUUUUAAUUUUUUCUCUAAUUUUUAAUAAAAAUAGGGGCAUAAUUGCUUUUUUUUUUUAAGUUUGAGAGUAUUUUUUAUGCAUUUUGAAAGUUCAAGUACCAAAUUGAGUGCAAAAAAAAAAAGAGUAGGGGCUUAAUUACUUUUUUUGAAAAUGUUUGAGAGCUUUUUUGAUGUAUCAAAUGAAAUACAAAUUUUGAGUAAAUCAACUAUUCAUUUUUAUGAAUAAAAAUUAUAUGGUAAAAAGGAAGUAGUGUUAAUAAUAAUAAAAAAGAUCAACAAUAGAAAACUAAUAAAGCAAUUUAGCCUAUGAUCUGCGCAAUAUAUUACUACAAAUGUACUGUACAAAAUAUUGAAGAAAACUAAUAAAGAAAUCUGAAAUUUUAACAAGUUCCGCAAAUAAUGUUUAUGAUUUGCUGUAAAUUGAUAUGUCAAAUUAGGCUCUCCAUCACACUUAAAAGUUUAUUUUCGAGCAAUUUAGAUAUCUUUGUUGCGUUUUUAUUUUGUUUUAGUUGUUUAUAUUAAUAAAUGAUUAGUGUGCAUUUUGAUGCUAUUUUAAGACCUGAGAUGGCCAAAUGGCACCCGGGGAAUCUAAUGAGGUUGGUGAGUGAUGCAGAGAGCCCAUGGUGGCCCGGAAGGAACGAAAAUGUUACCUAGAAAGAGGGUAUCGCAUUUCAAAGCAUGAAAGUCGUAAUACCCAUAACAAUGUUAAAAACAAGGAAGAUUGAGCCAUCAACAAUGUUAUCGUGAUACCGGUCAUAAGAUAUCGCGAUACCCAAAACUUCCAAGGAUCCCCCAAGACUGUUGUGGAUAUCGCGAUACCAAACUUUGGGUAUCGCAAUAUCAUUGAUGAGAGGAGACAAAAUAUAACUGUAGGGGUAAUCCUUUUCCAACAUGUGGAAUGGCCAUGGGAUGUGUUGUUUUCCAAACCGGUAAGGCGAAAAGGUUCGUGAAUUUGGCUGAAGACCAACAUGAGAAGAGGCGAAGAAGAAAGCCAAAAUAUAGCAAUCGCAUCAAUGGAUGAAGAAGGAUCUAGUUGGUUCAAAUGAAGUUAAAGCAUUUGUGCUGUGUCUUCAUAAUUUCUUGUUUAGUAGUCUGUCAGAAAGUUUUUCCUAUGGUGAAAAGUUGCAUUGCUAUGUGUCUGUUUUUAUGAUUGUACCAAUUCCUCUGUAUUUCAUUGCAUUUCGUACUAUUUGUAAGGGUUUAGUUCAGUGUAACAUCUUGUAUGGUGCAACUAUGUAUGUCUUCUUUCUUGAAUUUCAACUUUUAGUAAACAUUAUACUGCUCACCAUAAAAAAAAUACAUGUAGAAUUACAAAAGAUUCAAUUAUUCAAGUUUGAGUUGCAUUUAUAAACAUGUGAUGAUGAGAAUUCAUGAACAAAAGGUAUGGUUUGAGCCCUUUUGCAAUAUGCGUUUAUGUUGCAUUUACCUAUAUAUCUAUCGACAAAUUUAAGAGUAAUAUUUACAAUAGCAUUGCAGAGUAACAUAUUUACGAUUGGAUUACACAGUCAAAAGAUUGCAGCAACGAUGAGAUUAAUCCAAUUACAGGAAUUGAUAUCCUAAAUGGCUUUUAGGUACGUAGCUUCAUUGACGGUACAAACUAGUUAAAAUUUCCAGAAUUCAUGUCUUUGUUUUCCCUCAAGUAAACGUAGUCAAUACUGCAAAUGGUGUGGAAGUAUUGUACAUUGUGGCCCAAAUGUCCAAAAUUUCCACAUUGCUUGUAAAUUAAGUGAUGAAAACCAAAACUGUUUGAGGCAUCCAAUUACCCACAGAGAUAGGAAGUAAGGACGCAUGUAUAAUUAUUAUCAUUAAUUAAAGCAUAUAUAAUUACAUUAAAUAUAGGAUAAACUAUAAAAAUAAUCACUUUUAUUUACCUCAUAUUACAUUUUAGUCACUUAUGUUUGAAAUGUUACAUUUUGGUCACUUACGUUAUCGUUUUGGUACGAAGUGGUCACUCUACCGUUAAGCUCCGUUACCUCCCUAACGGCGAUUCUACGUGAUAGUCCAAAUGAGUUUUAAAUGCCAACUUAAAUGUCUUGCGUGGCUGUCUAAAUUAAAUUUAUUUAAUUAAAAACUUAUUUUCAUCUCAACAACCGGACAUUCAAGUUCGCAUUUAAAACCCAUUUAGACUGCCACGUAGGACUGCCGAUAGGGAGGUAACAGAGUUUGAUAGUAGAGUAACCACUUCAUAACAAAACGAUAAUGUAAGUGGCUAAAACAUAACAUUUCAAACAUAAGUAAUUAAAAUAUAAUAUAAGGUAAACAAGCCUUAAAUAUAUAAAUUACUAUGAUUACUAUCAAGAUAGCAUUGACCUGUUCAACAGGCGGAACCAAUAGAUCUGACCAUUUGGUGACUCUAGCAGUCGAUAAGUGUGAGUGGCAGACUGUGCAACUUGUAACUAUGUUAAUUGAUGAAAAGCUUUUUGAUAGAAGAUAAUAAACUAGUGGCAAUGGCAAACGGUUCCAAGACGAGGUGGGACACCGAGGCUUUGUGUAACAGGGGAAUAGAUGCACUCAAUGCUGGCGGCUGUUGACUUGUAUUUCUCUCUAACAAUUUAAAUCACCAGCUUGCUUCAUCCAUCUAUAAAUAAGGGUCUUCUUCAGUUUCAUAAAUGCAUAGAAAAUUAACAAGCUCAAAUUCCUUCUUUUCAUAUUCAUCUCUUUUACUUUGAAUUGCAACUUUAUCCUGCCUAAAUUCCUCAACCAUGAACCACCCAUCAGGACAGCCUCAAAAUGAACUUCCUUGGUCCGCCGGAUUCUGCGAUUGUUGCUCUGACCUGAAAACUUGUAACCCUUUCUUCUUUCUUCAAUAUCAGUUCUGUCUUUUUAAUUAUAUGAAUUAGUUUAUCAAUUAAAUAUAUGGACAUUUCAGGUUGCAUUUCAUACUGGUGCCCAUCCAUCACCUUUGGCCAGAUUGCUGAGAUUGUUGAUAAAGGGUCGACUUGUAAGUUAUUAAUUUCUAAAUUGAAAUCUUAUCAUCUUAGGUUUUGCAGACAUAUAUAUAUUUAAAGAGAUAUUAUGUAAUUAAUAAUAAUGUUGAAAAACACUGUUGGAUGGUGCAGCAUGUCGGGCAAGUAGGGCACUAUACACAUUAAUAAUGUUCAUCACCGGGUGUGGGUGCUUAUAUUCUGGCUGCUACCGAUGCAAACUGAGAAAGCAGUAUAACUUGAAAGGAGGCGAUUGUGGCGAUUGCAUGCGUCAUUUCUGCUGCGAGCCUUGUGCCUUGACACAAGAGUAUCGUGAGCUCCAGAACCGUGGAUUCGACAUGUCUAUCGGUAUGUCUACAUACCAAUAUUAUACCCCUUUUAAUUAUUCUUAAUAUAACUUCAAGUAUAUUAAUUGAGUAGCUGUAAACAAAUAUCUCCGAAUAAAUAUGUUGGUAAUGAUGAGAUAAAUUAUUGUUUGAGGUCAUUAAUUUUGUGGGGGUAUAUUUAUAUAUGCAGGUUGGCAUGCAAAUGUGGAGAAGAACCCAGGGCUGGCAAUGGCUCCAGCGGUAGAAAAAGGCAUGAGCAAAUAGAUGAUGAUGAUGAUGAGACCACUGCAUUAAUAUCAUCUUUACAUGUAACACUUAAUUCCUUGGCUUUCCAUAAUUGGUUGAUUGUACGGCUUGCCAAUUGAAUUUCAAGUUAUGUAUGUUUGUGAUUGUCAAAUAUAUUAAUAAAAAGUGUUACUAUUCAUGUUAGAUCUUCAUGAAUAAGAAUGAGAAUCGAAAAUAACUUGUAAUAUUGUGUGUGCAUGUUUGGUAUUUAGGUGAAAUACUUAGAAAGAGAGGUUGGAUUAAAUUAAUUUUUUAUUAUCAAAAUGGAUGAUUUUAAUUUUUAUAUUAAUAAAAAGAAUUAAAUAAAAUUAAUAUUUAUUGUUUUAGAAAAUGACAUCAAAUUAUUGUUUUUUAUAGUUCAAUCCAAAUAAAAUAUCUACAAAAUCAUUAAAAACUUUUAAAAUGUGACUUUGUUAAAUAGUAAAUAGCAUUUUUUUAAAAGGGUUCAUAUAUAUCGUGAUACCUAAAGUUGGCAACUUCUACUUAGUAUCUAAAUCGGUACAUAAACUUGAAAAUUGUAAGUCAACUUCGUAUUUUUAUAAGUAUGAUGAUGUUGGUGUAGUGUGAGGAAGAAGACUUGAAUGGGUUUGAUUAUUUUUAAUAAUACAGGAAUUUACAUAUUAUAAGUAAAUAGACACUCACAUUCUUUAUGUAUUAUAAGGAAGAAGACUAAGUCGAUCUACUUUGUAAUCUCAUCAAUCUUAAUUUUCUCAAUUGUUAAGGGAGUUCAAAUGAAAUACAAAAUUUUGGUAAAAAAAAGUAUCCAAUUUUGUGAAUAAAAAAUAUAUGGUAAAAAAGAUUUGGUAUCGAUACUUCGGCGCGGGUAUCAAUACUCGAUACAUUGCUUUUGGUUGGAAAGUAGUGUCUGGAACGGCCAUGGGAUGUGUUGUUUUCCAAACCGGUAAGGCGAAAAGGUUUGUGAAUUUGGUUGAAGACCAACAUGAGAAGAGGCGAAGAAGAAAACCAAAAUAUAGCAAUCGCAUCAAUGGAUGAAGAAGGAUCUAGUUGGUGCAAAUGAAGUUAAAGCAUUUGUGCUGUGUCUUCAUAAUUUCUUGUUUAGUAGUCUGUCAGAAAGUUUUUCCUAUGGUGAAAAGUUGCAUUGGUAUGUGUCUGUCUUUAUGAUUGUACCAAUUCCUCUGUAUUUCAUUGCAUUUCGUACUAUUUGUAAGGGUUUAGUUCGAGUGUAACAUCUUGUAUGGUGCAACUAUGUAUGUCUUCUUUCUUGAUUAUUGAAAUUAUAAUCAAAAUUAAUACAUGUUCUUUUUAUUAGCUUAAGGGCGUAAAAACACUUCAAAAUUUUCAAAAAAUAAAAUAAAAUUUUAAGUCCCUCUUUUUUUUACACUCAAUUGAAAUUUUUAAAAUGUAUCAAAAAUAUCUUUACAGUUCUUCAAAAAAAAAAACAAUUAAACCCCUAUUUUUUUUCCGCUCAAUUGGGUACUUGAACUUUCAUAAUGCAUCAAAAAUGCCUUAAAUUUUUUUCAAAAAAGCAAUUAAGCCCCUACUCUUAUUAAAAAUUAGAAAAAAAUCAUAAAAAUAAUAAAUUUUAGAAAAAAUUAUUAAAUUUUAAUAAAAAUUUAAAAUUUUAUUAAAAAUUAGAAUUUUUUUUUAGAAAAAUCGUCAAAAAAUAAAAAAUUAUAAAAUCCAUCAAAAAGUUUUAACAAUUAACUUUAACUAUUGAUCGUUAAAGUUAACGACCUCUAGUUUUUUCAAUUAAAGUCAUUAUGUGUCGCAACUCAACGUGACAUGUAGCGAAAAUAGAUAAAAAAGUAAAAAUCAAUAAAAGUUAUAGAAAAAUUAUAAAAUAUUUCUUUUGGUAGAAUAAUUUUUAUAAAUUUUUUUUACAAAAUUUAUAUUUCUUUACAUUUUGUAUAAUUUUCUUAUAACUUUAUAAAAUUUUAUAAAUUUUUAUAUUUCUAUAUAUUUUAAAAUUUUUUAAAAUUUUUAUAAAAUUUUACAAUUUUUAUAUAUUUUUAAUAAAUUUUUAAUAUUUGAUUUUUUAUUAAAAUUUAAUAAUAUUAUAGAUUUUAUUGAUUUUAAUUUUUUAUCUAAUUUUUAAUAAAAUUAGGGGGUUAAUUGCUUUUUUUUUAAGUUUGAGGGUCUUUUUGAUGCAUUUUGAAAGUUCAAGUACCCAAUUGACUGCAAAACAAAAAGAAAAAAAGUAGGGGCUUAAUUGCUUUUUUUGAAAAUGUUUGAGGGCUUUUUUGAUGUAUUUUGAAAGUUCAAGUACCCAAAUGAGUGCAUAAAAAGAACAGGGGUUUAGUUGCUAUUUUGAAAAAGUUUGAGGGCUUUUUGCACCUUUAAACCUCUUUUCUUUUUCUAAAUUUAAUUUAGAACCAACUUUGUGUAAAGACUUGGGAAAUUUAAUUAGCAAAAUUUCUUUCCAUGUAAAAAUUUCCCCUAUUUCUUGUUUGAAUUUAAAGCAAUACAAUAUUUUUCUAGCAAAUAAUAGAAAAUGACAGUCAAUUAAUUCCAGCAAUACAACAUUUCCAGUCUGGUGGAAAACAGCUAGGGACCAAAUUUUUAAAGUGUUGUUUACUACACACUUAGGGACCAUAUAUGUAUAUAUAUAUAUUCCAGUCUGGGUCUUUGUCGUGUUUUGUUGGUUGGCUAUGGCCUUCUUGUUGUUUCAUGGCCACUGCCCGUGAAUUAAGUCAUAUGUGGCCUUGUUUGCUAGACCUUAGUUGCUAAGUUAAAGGGAGUGAAUAGAGCACCAUAUUUCUUCUUCUGCGUGGAAAAUAAGUUGGCAUUAUGCCAAAUUCCACAUUCAUACAUAGAAAGGAAGCAAGGCCAAGUCAUUAUACUUUGUAAUCUCAUCAAUUCUAAUUAUUUCACUUCUUCAUUCUUUAGGGAGUUCAAGUGAAAUACAAAUUUUUCCACAUCCAAUCUCAUAAAUAAUCCGUCUUUGAACUUUCACAAAAAAAUAUUAAAUACCCAUUCACUUUAAUUCUACUAUUCUUAAAUCAUUCAAGUUUUGUGGAAAAUAUGCUUCUUGGAUAAAAUUAUUCAACACACAUGCCUUGAAUUUUAUGCAAUAAAAUAAAUCAAUAUAGGCCACACAUGCUUUGAAUAUUUAAGUAGUCCACAAUUUUGUUCGUUUGUGUGCAAAAUUCUACAUUGCUUGACAGCCAUACAUUCUAAGUAAAUAGACACCCACAUUGUUUACGUAUUAUGAAGAAGAAGACUAAGUCAGUCUACUUUGUAAUCUCAUCAAUCUUAAUUUUCUCAGUUAUUUAGGGAGUUCAAAUGAAAUACAAAAUUUUGGGAAAAAAAAUGUAUCCAAUUUUGUGAAUGAAAAAUAUAUGGUAAAAAGGAUUUGGUAUGGAUACUUCGGCUCGGGUAUCAAUACUCAGGGUAAGUUUAUCGAUACAUUGCUUUUGGUUGGAAAGUGGUGUUGAUAGGUGAUGACUAAAAUUUGAUAAAUUUGAAAAGUACAUGAAAUUUAACGAUUAUUGUUUGGUGAUGACUAAAAUUUUAAAAUUUGAAAAGUACAUGAACUAAAAAUGACCAAAUUAAAGUAUAAAGAUUAAGUCCACAACUUUUGCAAAGUACAAGGACUAAUAGCAGAAAUUAACCUAAAUUUCAUAUGGGUCAAUUACAAAAAUAAUCACUAAACUAUUCCUUUGGUUCUAUUCUAGUCACUCAACUAUAGAGGUGCUCAUGGGCUGAGCCAGGUCAAGCCUAAGUAUGAUAUUAAUGUAUUUUAUACUUGCUCAAGCUUGGCUCGGCCUGAAAUAUGAGCUUAAAAUUUUGCCUGAACUCAUCCAUAUUUGCAAAAGACUAACCCAAGCUCAUUUUAAGCAUGCCUAUAUAAUUUUUAAUUUUUUUUAAAUAUUUAUAUUAUAUUAUAUUAAUUAAUAAUUUAAACAUUUUUUAUUUAUUAAAAUUUUUUAUAGUCAUUUUAACAUUAUUUUAAUGUUUACAUUAUAGUAUUAUUAUAUAUUUAGUAUAAGUAUUUUUUUAAUAUGUUCUAAUUUAUAUAAUAUAAAGUAUUAUACACUUAAAAACGGGCCGGGCUGGGCUUGAGCUUUAGUUGUUACUCAACUAUUAAUUUUUUCGAUUUAGUUGUUAACCUUUUCAAAAGUAAAUAUUUUAGUCAGUCUCCUAUUAGUUGUUGUUAAAUGAGUGACGGAAAGCUAAUGUGAGCUUUUUUUAUUAGUCUAAUAACAAAUUUAGCCCUCCAAUGUUUACACAUUCUAUCAAUUUGAUCGUAAAUAUAAAAAAAAAAUCAACAAAUUUAGCCCUGAAUAUUAACAAAACUUGUCAUUUUAGUUCAAAUUCUAAAAAAUUUAAUAAAUUUAACCUUUAAUAUUUUCAAAAAAAUAGCAAUUUAGUUCUAAUUCUAAAAAUUUUAAUAUAUAUAUUUAAAAAAAUAUUUCUAAUCCUCUGUCUCACCCUUUGAUUUUUUAGAUGAGCUAAAAUCAAAAUAUAUCAUUAUGUCUUUUUGUUUUAAUGCUAAAAGAGAUAAAAAAAAAUGGAAAGCUAAAAUGGCUUUUCGUUUGUGAAGUUACAAAAUGCCAAAUAAAUUAUUAUGUCUUUUUAGUUUUAAUUUUUUACUUGAUUAAAAGAGAAAUAAUUAACGAAUGAAAAAUAAUUAUUCACAAAUAAAUUUAUCAGAAUUUAUAACAAAUGAGAUUUUAAAUUUGAAUUUAUAAAUCAAAAUUUAUAUAUAUAUAUAUAUAAAAGAAAACACAUUUUUAUGAAAUAUAAGAUUUUGUUAAAAGAAAGAGCAUAUAAAAGCAUACACGUUUUUAUGAAAUACAAGAUUUUGCUAAAAGAAAAAGCAUCCAAUUUUAAGAAUGAAAAAUAUAUGGUAAAAGCAUCCAUAACUUUUCAAUAUAAAAGAAAAAAAAGACUAACACCAAUGUUGUGGUAUUAUUUGUUGCCUAUAAAUACCAUUCCUAUCCUUCUUCUUCCUCUACAAACAUAACAUGGCCCCCUAUCUCUUUCUCUGCCUAUUCCUCUUCUUUCCCCAUCUUUAUGCUUCUUUUCUUCUUCAGAAUCUCACUCCUGCUCUUCACUAAUCCAGUUUAAGGACUCUUUUUCCAUCACAAAGGAUGCUUCCUGGUAUUUCGAUUAUAUUACUGGCCUUAAAUCUUAUCCCAAGACAAAUUCAUGGAAGGAGGGUACAGAUUGCUGCUCAUGGGAUGGGGUCACUUGUGACCACCUAAAUGCUCAUGUUAUUGCCCUUGACUUGAGCUGCAGUUGGCUAUAUGGCACCUUCCCUUCCAAUACCACUCUCUUCCUUCUUCCUCACCUUCAAAAACUCAACCUUGCCUACAAUCAUUUUAAUUCUUCCAAAAUUCCAUCCGAGUUCGGUCGGUUUACAAGCCUAUUCUACCUCAACCUUUCCAAUACAUGGUUUUCAGAAGUCCCAUCCCAAGUCUCCCACCUGUCAAAAUUGGUUUCACUUGAUCUCUCCUCUCGGAUUGAUUACUCUGGGCAAGUUACAAUUGACAAACAUGCUCUGGAGGGACUUGUUCACAACCUAACCGAGGUCAGACAUCUGUUUUUGGAUGGAAUCAACAUGACUUCUGUUAAUGCUCAUGUCUUCAUGAAUCUAUCCUCUUCUCUAAGGUCUCUCAGUCUUGCUUUUUGUGAUUUGCAAGGAAAAUUCCCAAAAAACAUUUUUGAUUUGCAAAACCUCAAUCUCCUCAACUUGAGAUACAACCAAUUGAGUGGACAAAUUCCAAGAUCAUUGGGGAACCUCUUGCAACUCACUCAUUUACACUUGUCGGGGAACCAAUUGAGUGGACAAAUUCCAUUGUCAAUUCUAAACCUAACGCAGUUGGAAUACUUGGAAAUAUCUGAAAAUUCUUUAGAAGGUUCCAUUCCAGAUGAGGUAACCGCUUUUCCUAAUCUAAUAUAUUUAUACUUAUCUGACAAUUUACUCAAUGGAACACUUCCGUCAUGGUUGUAUACUGCUCCCUGCUUAAAGGAAAUAUAUCUCUCUCAAAAUCAAUUCAGUGGGCAUAUCAAAGAAUUCCAAACCAAAUCACUAGAAUAUUUAUAUCUAGAAAAUAAUAAACUCCAAGGUCCCCUUCCAUCUUCAAUAUUCCAACUUCUCAAUCUUACCGGGCUCCUUUUAUCCUCAAAUAAUCUUAGUGGUGUCAUAGAGUUGAGCAUGUUCUCAAACCUUCCAAAUCUCAAAUAUCUUGACCUUUCAUAUAACAGCCUAUCCUUAAUAUCUAAUACUACUUCUACUGUUAAUCAUAUAUUGCCUAAUCUUACAGGCUUACAUUUGUCAUCUUGCAAUCUUAGUGAAUUCCCCCAGUUUUUAAAAGGGCUUAAAAGUUUGGAAAGCUUAGACCUCUCUUGCAACAAAAUUGAAGGCAAGAUUCCACAGUGGAUGCAAGAGGUGGGGAAUGUCUCUUUGACUUACUUCAACGUAUCUCACAACUCUUUGACAGAAGUUGAGCACUUUCCAUGGAAGAAUAUUGAAAGUCUUGACUUAAGCUCCAAUUUGAUCAGUGGAAAUCUUCCGAUUCCAGCUUCGACCAUCAAUGUCUUUCUGAUCUCAAAUAAUAGUUUCAAUGGAGAGGUCUCUUCUUUAAUCUGCAAUGCCAGUGAUCUUGAAAUUCUUGAUUUGUCCCACAAUAACUUGAGUGGAACAAUUCCGCAAUGUUUUGGAAAUUUGAGCAACAGCCUUGAAUUCUUGAAUCUGAAGAAGAACAAGUUCUAUGGGACGAUUCCUCCAAAAUUUGCAAAGGGAUGCCGAUUGACUAAUUUCAACUUAAAUGGAAAUCUGUUAGAAGGGCCAUUGACUCCAUCCAUCCUUAAUUGUAGGGGUCUGGAAGUGCUAGAUCUUGGUAACAACAAGAUCAAUGAUACAUUUCCUCAUUGGUUGGGAAGUCUUCCACAGCUACAAGUUCUUGUAUUGAAGUCAAAUCAUAUGCAUGGUUCCUUAUGUGUCAAUAGCUCCAAGUCUAGCCCUUUUUUCUCUAAAAUCCAAAUUUUUGAUCUCUCAAGUAAUUAUUUUUCUGGACCCCUACCAGUGAGAUACAUCAACAGCUUCAAGGCUAUCAUAAAUCUAGAGAAGAUUGGUAGUACAGUGUCGUACAUGGGGGUGAAUGAUGGCUUCUAUACCUAUUCCAUUGGAAUUGUUAUAAAAGGACAAUAUAUGGAAUUGGUGAAAAUUUUCACCAUGUGGAUGAUCAUUGAUCUAUCAAACAAUCAGUUUGAAGGGGGUAUUCCAGAGGUUUUUGGGAAGCUUAACUUACUGAAAGGGCUCAACCUUUCUCAUAAUAACCUUAAUGGUGGUAUCCCCACCUUAAUAGGGAAUUUGACAAGUCUUGAAUGGUUGGACCUAUCUUCAAACAGGUUGUCUGGGACGAUUCCAAAUAGAUUGGCAGAUCUGCCAUUUCUUUCGUCCUUCAAUGUUUCUGAAAAUCAACUCCAUGGUCAGAUUCCUCAAGGCAAACAGUUCAACACAUUUGGAAAUGAUUCAUAUGAAGGAAACAAGGCAUUAUGUGGAUUUCCGGUCUCAAAAGGUUGCAACAUCAUUGAGCCAGCACCUCCAAAUGUGCUUGAAAAAGAUGGCUCAAAAUCAAACAUUACUUUUGGUUGGAAAGUGGUGUUGAUAGGUUAUGGAUGCGGAGUGGUGUUCGGAAUGUCCGUGGGAUAUGUUGUUUUCCAAACUGGUAAGCCGAAAUGGUUGGUGAAUUUGGUUGAAAUCCAACAUGAGAAGAAGCGAAGAAGAAAGUCAAAGGAUGGCAGUCGCAGCAAUGGACGAAGAAGAAUCUAGUUAGUGGAAAUGAUGUUCAAGUGUUGAUGUUGUAUCUUCAUAAUUUCUUGUUUUGAAGUCUGUCAAAUUUUUUUCCUAUCGUGAAAGGCUGCAUUGCCAUGCAUCUGUCUUUUUUAUUGUAACCAUUCAUCUAUAUUUCAUUGCAUUACGUAGUAUUUGUAAGGGUUUGUUUUAAAUGUAACAUUUUGUAUGGUUCAACUAUUUAUGUCUCUUUCAUGAGUUUCAUUUUUGAGUCUCAAUAAUCUCUGCAUUCAAGAUUUUGUCAGCUUAUUAAUUGGUGGAUCAAUAAUCUUCAUGCUCAUCUCAUCAUCUUUUUCUCGAGUUAAACACAGUCACUACUAUAAUAAUUUCUUCUGUGUGGAAAAUAAUUUGGCAUUCUGCAAAUUUCCACAAUGCUUGUGGAUUACCUCUGGUUGACGGCUAUACAUAUAAAGGAAGGAAACAAGACUAUGUCAAAAUUUCCAAAAAUCAGUCAUUCAUUUUUGAACAAUUAAACAUUCGUAUUCUAUUUUUCAAAAUUGUAAAUCCUCAAAUAAUGUAAAUUAGUCCUAAAACUCAAGUUUUGAAAUCUUUACAAUUUAACCCCUUAUAGUUUCAAACUUUACUAUUUUAUGCUCAACUUUCUAAAUCUUCAUAUUUCAUGAUCAUAUAAUUUAGUUAUUACAUCAAUAUUUCAGAUUUCACUACUCAAACCCUUACUUCAUUUUGGUCCUUACUUCAAUUUUAUCAAAUUAAAUCAUUUUUCAAUUUGAAUGCAUUGAUGUGAAAUUAAGGGACCACUAAACAAUGUUGAUGCGAGUUUAGGCAAAAUUGGUGGAUCCCAUCUCCACAGCAAUUUCUUUAUGGAAGUACUUGCUUUCACACUGCAAACUUGGAUAGUUUGUGGUGGACGAUGAUGAAUCAUUUCACAAUCAAACACACCAUUUUUAAACACAUAUAUUGAAAUCAUUAUUAAAAUUAUAAUCAAAAUUAAUACAAGUUCUUUUUAUUAGCUUAAGGGCGUAAAAACUCUUCAAAAUUUUCCAAAUAAAAAAUAAAAAAUUUAAGUCCCUCUUUUUUUUUUACACUCAAUUGAGUACUUAAACUUUUAAAAUGUAUCAAAAAUAUCUUAACACUUCUUCAAAAAAAGCAAUUAAACCCCCUUUUUUUUCCGCUCAAUUGGGUACUUGAAUUUUCAUAAUGCAUCAAAAAUACCUUAAUUUUUUUUUCAAAGAAACAAUUAAGCCUCUAUUUUUUUCCUACUCAACUAGGUACUUGAACUGUCAAAAAAACAAUUAAGCACCUACUCUUAUUAAAAAUUAGAAAAAAAAUCAUAAAAAUAAGAAAAAUUUAGAAAAAAUUAUUAAAUUUUAAUAAAAAUUUAAAAACUUAUUAAAAAUUAGAAAAAAUUUUAGAAAAAUUGUCAAAAAAUAAAAAAUUAUAAAAUUUUAUAAUUAAGCACUCUUAAAAUUUUGAAAAUUCUCAUUAAUCUCACACAAAUUUAAAAUUUUUUAUUAGACCCCCAAUUUUUUUUAAAAAUGUUAUUAAACCCUUAAAUUUUUAGAAAAUUUUACCUGCCCCCUCCCAAAAAAAAAACUAGUCCCAACUCUUAGGAUCCGCCAUUGGUACUUGGUAUUAACACUAUUAGAAAAUUGCUAAAUCAACCAAUGAAAAUUUGACACAUGGAACCCUUUUUUUAAAUUAUCAAGUUACGGAUGUUCUUCAAGGGCAUGGAACUCAACUUGAAAAUUUUACUAAUUUGGUUGCAAAAAACAUUGAGGAAGCAUAUAAUGAUCUAACCCUUUUUUGUUUUGUUCUGUUUUUAAUUUGUUAUGGGAUUCUAUUGAAUGAUAAUUUUUUUUAUUUCCCAUACUUGGUUCUUCAACAACAACAUAUUCGAGAUUUUAUUUUUCUAGAAUUUUUAUAUAAAAGUUUGUAUUUUUUAAAAUAAUUUUGAGUUUUUUAUAAUUUUUAUAUAGAAUCGAGGUAAAUUGGCAAAAAAUUAUAAAAAACAAAAUACUAAAAUUGUUUAGUUAAGUGACCAAAGCGAAGAUCUACCCAUAGUUCAGUGGCUAAUUAUGUAGUUUACCCUUUCAUAAUUAAAAAAAUAGUUGUUCAGUUUUUCUUGUAUUAGAUAACAUUUUAGAUGGUAAAAACCCUCUUUAGUCCCUCUCAAUUUUGAUAUUAAGUAAAUUGGUCCAUUUUUUUUUAAAAAAAUCAAAGCAAUUUAAUCUUUGUUAAUUUCGAAAGUGAGCAACUAAGGACAAUUAAUCACAAUGUCAAUAUUUUCCAUCAAUUGUACAUAUUUUUAUUGGUAUAAUAACAAAUUUAGCUCUCCAAGUUUACACAUUCUAUCAAUUUGUUUUGAUUUAACAAAUUUAGCCCGCAACAGUUACAUAUUCUAUUAACAUUUACACAUAAUAUAUAAACAUCGAGAGCUUAAUUUGUUAUUAUAUAAAUAAAAUUAUGUACAAUUUACAGAAAGCAUUAACACAAUAAUUAAUUGUCCUUAGUUGCUCCAUUUCAAAAUUGAUAAUGAUUAAAUUGCUCUAAUUUUCUGAGAGAAACCAAUUUCUUCAAUAUAGAAAUUGAGAGGGACGAGAAAUGUGUUUUUAUCCAUUUUAGAUACUAACAAGUGUUUGGCGUAGUGGCAAGGCAUAUUACAUUCUCAAGGAGAGAAUGCGUAUUCAAACGUUGGAGAUAAUAAUAUUGUGUGGGGUAUCCACGGAUCUCGAACACAGACUGUAAAACAUAUAUAAAAAAUAAAAAGAAUAACAUCUUAAUUUAAAUAAUUAAUAAAUUUUAAUUUCAAAAAAGUAUUUUGAGAAACAUAGGUUUUAGUAAAUAGUAAAAUUGAAUCGAUAAAACAUGUCCAGUAUAUCAGAAUCAUAAAAAUACAACUUAAUUAAUUUGAAUUUAAACUUAACUCGACUCAAUUUGAUUAUAAAAAACUGAUAAUUUGAAUCCAAAAUGACAUGAUCUUGAAAUGAUUUGAAUUAAUUGUCAAACCCAAACGACAAAACUCGAAAUGAUGCAAUCCAAAAACACAAGUCAAAUGAACUAAACUAUGAAAGAAAAAAAAAACCUUACACCGACUCAAAUCCAAAAUAAUUUAAUCCUAAAAUAACCCAAAUUUUAUAUAAUAUAAACUCGAAAUAACCCGAUAAUUUUUUUCAGUCUUACUGUGUUUAUCUUUAUAAGUAUUCUUGUUUUCCUUGCCCAUACAUGUAUUGUAGUUAUCAAAAAAUAUAUUCUACUUUGGAUUUUAUUUAUAUUAAAUUUUAGGUUAAAUUCCGCUAUUACUCUCUGUACUUUAUGAAAAUGAUGGAUUUAAUCAUUGUACGUUAAUUUAAUCAAUUUUAGUCUUUGUAUUUUUUGAAUUGGUCAAUUUUAAACCAUUUACUUUUUGAAUUUUGAAAUUUUAGUCUUGAUUCAAAUAAUAUUAAUAAUAAUAAAAUCUGCUUAUUUAAAUUUAAUUAUUAGUUUUGUACUAUGUAGACAAUUAUAGAUUUAAUCCAUAUUUUUCAAUUGGGUCAUUCCAAGUCUUUAUACUUUUCAAAUUUUAAAAUUUCAAUAUUGAUGCAGAAUGCGAGUUGCUAUUAAUUAAUUGAUUUUUUUAGCCAAUGCAUGUAGAAAUAAUAAGUUGUUAUGUCAUUAUACUUAAAAUAAUAUAUUGGUUUAACCCGCUUAAAUUAUGUCUUUUUUUCCAUCUUGGGACCUAAAUUUUUUUGGGGUCAUAAGUGGUACCUAAACUACUUUUUUUUCUCCUUCAAAUUAGGGCUCCUUUGGAUCACCAGCAAGUUUCAGUGUGGUGAGAUUUAAAGAGUAAAAAAAAUUUGAACUGAAACGCAGCUCUAUUUGGGGUGUUUGGCAAGCACACCAGUAAGCAUUUUUCACCUCACUGUAACCCAAAAUAUUGGCUGGAGUUAAAAGCUUCAGUGGACUGAUUUGGAAGUCCAAAAAUAAGAGUAAUUAUUAUUUUACCCCUCCAAUUCUUCCUUUAUUAUUUAUUUUAUUUAAAACAGAUAACAUAAGUUUAAUAUGUCAUUAUUUAAUAUUAUUUAAUUUACAAUAAAAUUAUAAUUUUUAUUUAUAAAUUUAGUAUAAAUACAAUUUAAUUUAUAUUUUAUUAUUUGAUUCAAAUAUAAUCUGUAAAAAUAUUUUGAUAUUUUAUUAUGAAUAUAAUUUAAAAAUAUUUUAUUGUAUAUUUAAAAUAUUUUGAUAUUUUAUUAUGAAUAUAAUCUGUAAAAUAUUUUGAUAUUUUUGAAUUUUUCUCUAGUUUUAAUUUAUUUUUAAUUAUUUAUUAUUAAAAAUAAAUAUAAUUGUAAUAAUUUUUAAUUAUUUAUUAAUUUUGUAAUUGUUAAAUAAUUUUAAAAACUUCUAUUAUAUAUAUUUUUAAUCUAAUGUCCUUAAAAGUCAUUUUCUAUUUUCACCUCACCGCUACAACUGCGUUUGAAUCCAAACACACACUCCACCGCUGUUUCUAAUCUCACCGCUACAGUAUCCAAUCUCACCGCUACAGUACCUAAUCUCACCGCCACCGCUGUUUUUAACCUUACCGGAACUAAACACACCGCCCAUCCAAACCCACCCUUAGUAUAUUCAUUAGUUAAACUGUUAAGUCUAUUUAAAAAAGAAAGACUCGGACAACAAAUUAAUACUUAAACAAUGCUCUUUUUCCCAAGGUACCUAAUUUUUAUUUUGGCCAUGAGUAUUACUAAAACUAUUAUUCCAUUACUCAUUUUACACCAAAAUGUUAUAUCGGCUGAAAAGAUUCCAACAAAUAAUAGAUUGUAUGUCAUAUAAACUUUUAAAAAUAAUUAUUAAUUAAUUUUUUUCAUAUAAACUGAACGGUUUGACUAAUGACGGAGGUACCAAAUUAUAGUCUAGGUACCAAUUUAUGGGUUAAGCCUAUUUCUAAAAUAGACUUUUGACUAAUGGCGGUAGUAACUUGGGAAAAAAAAGUAGUUUAUGUACCACUUGUGAACAAAAAUAAGUUUAGGUACCAACAUCGUAAAAUGAGUAUAAUUUAGAUACCGAUUUAUGAGUUAAGCCUAAUAUAUUUGUUGCAUCAUUUUUUUGAAAAUAACAGAACUUAAUAAAUUUAACGGUUAUUUUUUGGUGAUGACUAAAAUUUUAAAAUUUGAAAAGUACAUGAACUAAAAAUGACCAAAUUAAAGUAUAAAGAUUAAGUCCACAACUUUUACAAAGUACAAGGAGUAAUAGCAGAAAUUAACCUAAAUUUCAUAUGGGUCACUUACAAAAAUAAUCACUAAACUAUUCCUUUGGUUCUAUUCUAGUCACUCAACUAUAAAGGUGCUCAUGAGCCGGGCCAGGUCAGGCCUAAGCAUGAUAUUAACGUACCUUAUGCUUGCUCAAGCUUGGCUCGGCCCGAAAUAUGAGCUUAAAAUUUCGCCUAAACUCAUCCAUAUUUGCAAAAGACUAACCUAAGCUCAUUUUAGGCAUGCCCAUAUAAUUUUUAGUUUUUUUUUAAUAUUUAUAUUAUAUUAUAUUAAUAAUUAAUAAUUUAAACUUUUUUUAUUUAUUGAAACUUUUUAUAUAGUCAUUUUAACAUUAUUUUAAUGUUUACAUUAUAGUAUUAUUAUAUAUUUAGUAUAAGUUUAUUUUGUUAAUCUAUUCUAAACUAUAUAAUAUAAAGUAUCAUACACUUAAAAAUAGGCCGAGCUGGGCUUGAGCUUUGAAUGUUCAAGCCUGAACUCAGCCCAAAUUUUAAACGGGCCUAAUUUUUUUACCCAAACCCAAUUUUUGGGCCUAAUAUUUUUAUCCAGACCCUCCCAAAUUUUGGGCAGCCCUUGGGCCUUGGCAAGUAGCCCAACUCAUUAACAAGUUUACUCAACUAUUAAUUUUUUCGAUUUAGUUGUUAACCUUUUCGAAAGUAAAUAUUUUAGUCACUCUCCUGUUAGGUGUUGUUAAAUGAGUGAUGGAAAGCUAAUGUGGGCUUUUUUUAUUAGUCUAAAAACAAAUUUUGCCCUCUAAUGUUUACACUUCUAUCAAUUUGAUCCUAGAUAUAAAAAAAAAUCAAAAAAUUUAGCCCUGAAUAUUAUCAAAAAUUAGCGAUUUAGUUCUAAUUCUAAAAAUUUUAAUAUAUACAUAUAUUUAAAAAAAUAUUUUUAAUCCUCUGUCUCACCCUUUGAUUUUUUUAGAGAUAUUCAAAAAUUAAAAUAUAUCAUUAUGUCUUUUCGUUUUAAUGCUAAAAGAGAUAAAAAAAAUAGAAAGCUAAAAUGACUUUUCAUUUGUAAAGUUAAAAAAUACUAAAUAAAUCAUUAUAUCUUUUUAGUUUUAAUUUUUUACUUGAUUAAAAGAGAAAUAAUUAACGAAUGAAAAAUAAUUAUUCCCAAAUAAAUUUAUAAGAAAUGAGAUUUUGCUAAAAGAAAAAGCAUGUAAAAGUAUACACGUUCUUAUGAAAUACAAAGAUUUUGCUAAAAGAAAAAGUAUCCAAUUUUAAGAAUGAAAAAUAUAUGGUAAAAGGAAGACUAAGUGGUUGUUGAAAAAUACAAAAAUUUUGAAAAUCUAAUAUCCAUAACUUUUCAAUGUAAAAGAAAAAAAUGACUGUAACACCAAUGUUGUGGUAUUAUUUGUUGCCUAUAAGUACCAUUCCUAUCCUUCAUCUUCCUCUACCAACAUAACAUGGCCUCCUAUCUCUUUCUGUCCCUGUUCCUCUUCUUUCCCCAUCUUUAUGCUUCUUUUUCUUCUUCAGGAUCUCACUCCUGCUCUUCACUAAUCCAGUUCAAGAACUCUUUUUCCAUCACAGAGUAUGCUUCUUAUCAUUGCAAUGAGAUUGCUGGCCUUCAAUCUUAUCCCAAGACAAAUUCAUGGAAGGAGGGUACAGAUUGCUGCUCAUGGGAUGGGGUCACUUGUGACCACCUAAAUGCUCAUGUUAUUGCCCUUGACUUGAGCUGCAGUUGGCUAUAUGGCAACUUCCCUUCCAAUUCCACUCUCUUCCUUCUUCCUCACCUUCAAAAACUCAACCUUGCCUACAAUCAUUUUAAUCGUUCCAAAAUGCCAUCCGAGUUCGGUCGGUUUACAAGCCUACUCUACCUCGACCUUUCCAGUACAGGGUUUGCAGGAGAAGUCCCAUCCCAAGUCUCCCACUUGUCAAAAUUGGUUUCACUUAAUCUUUCUUGGAUUGGACAACAAUUAACAAUUGACAAACAUGCUCUGGAGGGACUUGUUCACAACCUAACCGAGGUCAGGUAUCUGUUUUUGGAUGGAAUCAACAUGGCUUCUGUUAAUGCUCAAGUCUUUAUGAAUCUAUCCUCUUCUCUAAGGUCUCUCAGUCUUUCUGGUUGUGAUUUGCAAGGAAAAUUCCCAAAAAACAUUUUUGAUUUGCCAAACCUCAAUCUCCUCAACUUUGGAGACAACCAAUUGAGUGGACAAAUUCCAAGAUUAUUGGGGAACCUCUUGCAACUCACUUCUUUAGACUUGUCGUUGAACCAAUUGAGUGGACAAAUUCCAUUGUCAAUUCUAAACCUAACGCAGCUGGAAUUUUUGGCAAUAUCUGAAAAUUUAUUAGAAGGUUCCAUUCCAGAUGAAGUAACCGCUUUUCCUAACCUAAAAUUUUUAUACUUAGAUAACAAUUUACUCAGUGGAACACUUCCGUCAUGGUUGUAUACUGCUCCCUCAUUAGACAGUAUAGGUCUCUCUCAAAAUCAAUUCAGUGGGCAUAUCAAAGAAUUCCAAUCCAAAUCACUAGAAUGGAUAGCGUUAGAGAAUAAUAAACUCCAAGGUCCUCUUCCAUCUUCAAUAUUCCAACUUCUCAAUCUUACCCGCCUCUUUUUAUCCUCAAAUAAUCUUAGUGGUGUCAUAGAGUUUCGCAUGUUCUCAAACCUUCCAAAUCUCGACCUUCUUGACCUUUCAUAUAACAGCCUAUCCUUAACAUCUAAUACUACUUCUACUGUUAAUCAUAUAUUGCCUAAUCUUACAAUGUUAUUUUUGUCAUCUUGCAAUCUUAGUGAAUUCCCCCAAUUUUUGAAAGGGCUUAAAAGGUUGGAAAUGUUAGACCUCUCUUGCAACAAACUUCAAGGCAAGAUUCCACAGUGGAUGCAAGAGGUGGGGAAUGUCUCUUUGACUUUCUUAAACGUAUCUCACAACUCUUUGACAGAAGUUGAGCACUUUCCGUGGAAUAAUAUUGCAGUUCUGGACUUAAGCUCCAAUUUGAUCCGUGGAAAUCUUCCGAUUCCAGCUUCGAAGAUCAAUGUCUUUCUGAUCUCAAAUAAUAGUUUCAAUGGAGAGGUCUCUUCUUUAAUCUGCAAUGCCAGUGAUCUUGAAAUUCUUGAUUUGUCCCACAAUAACUUGAGUGGAACAAUUCCGCAAUGUUUUGGAAAUUUGAGCAACAGCCUUGAAUUCUUGAAUCUGAAGAAGAACAAGUUCUAUGGGACGAUUCCUCCAACAUUUGCAGAGGGAUGCCAAUUGAGUAAUUUCAACUUAAAUGGAAAUCUGUUAGAAGGGCCUUUGACACCAUCCAUCCUUAAUUGUAAUGAUCUGGAAGUGCUAGAUCUUGGUAACAACAAGAUCAAUGAUACAUUUCCUCAUUGGUUGGGAAGUCUUCCACAGCUACAAGUUCUUGUAUUGAAGUCAAAUCAUAUGCAUGGUUCCUUGCGUGUCAAUAGCUCCAAGUCUAGCCCUUUUUUCUCUAAAAUCCAAAUUUUUGAUCUCUCAAGUAAUUAUUUUUCUGGACCCCUACCAGUGAGAUACAUCAACAGCUUCAAGGCUAUCAUAAAUCUAGAGAAGAUUGGUAGUACAGUGUCGUACAUGGGGGUGAAUGAUGGCUUCUAUACCUAUUCCAUUGGAAUUGUUAUAAAAGGACAAUAUAUGGAAUUGGUGAAAAUUUUCACCGUGUGGAUGAUCAUUGAUCUAUCAAACAAUCAGUUUGAAGGGGGUAUUCCAGAGGUUUUUGGGAAGCUUAACUUACUGAAAGGGCUCAACCUUUCUCAUAAUAACCUUAAUGGUGGUAUCCCUACCUCAAUAGGGAAUUUGACAAGUCUUGAAUGGUUGGACCUAUCUUCAAACAGGUUGUCUGGGACGAUUCCAAAUAGAUUGGCAGAUCUGCCAUUUCUUUCGUCCUUCAAUGUUUCUGAAAAUCAACUCCAUGGUCAGAUUCCUCAAGGCAAACAGUUCAACACAUUUGGAAAUGAUUCAUAUGAAGGAAACAAAGGAUUAUGUGGAUUUACGGUCUCGAAAGGUUGAAACAUCAUUGAGCCAGCACCUCCAAAUGUGCUUGAAAAAGAUGGCUCAAAAUCAAACAUUACUUUUGGUUGGAAAGUGGUGUUGAUAGGUUAUGGAUGCGGAGUGGUGUUCGGAAUGUCCGUGGGAUAUGUUGUUUUCCAAACUGGUAAGCCGAAAUGGUUGGUGAAUUUGGUUGAAAUCCAACAUGAGAAGAAGCGAAGAAGAAAGUCAAAGGAUGGCAGUCGCAGAAAUGGACGAAGAAGGAUCUAGUUAGUGGAAAUGAUGUUCAAGUGUUGAUGUUGUAUCUUCAUAAUUUCUUGUUUUGAAGUCUUUCAAUUUUUUUCCUAUGGUGAAAGGUUGCAUUGGCAUGCAUCUGUCUUUGUUAUUGUGACAAUUCAUCUAUAUUUCAUUGCAUUACGUGGUAUUUGUAAGGGUUUGUUUUAAAUGUAACAUUUUGUAUGGUUCAACUAUUUAUGUCUUCUUUCAUGACUUUUAUUUUUGAGUCUCAAUAAUCUCUGCAUUCAAGAUUUUGUCAGCUUAUUAAUUGGUGGAUCAAUAAUCUUCAUGCUCAUCUCAUCAUCUUUUUCUCGAGUUAAACACAGCCAAUACUAUAACAAUUUCUUCUGUGUGGAAAAUAAUUUGGCAUUCUGCAAAUUUCCACAAUGCUUGUGGAUUGCCUUUGGUUGACAGCUAUACAUAUAAAGGAAGGAAACAAGACCAUGUCAAAAUUUCCAAAAAUUAGUCAUUCAUUUUUUAAAAUUGUAAAUUCUCAAGUAAUGUAAAUUAGUCCUAAAACUCAAGUUUUGAAAUCUUUACAAUUUAACCCCUUACUAUUUUAUGCUCAACUUUCUAAAUCUUCAUAUUUCAUGAUCAUAUAAUUUAGUUACUACAUCAAUAUUUGAGAUUUCACUACUCAAACCCUUACUUCAUUUUGGUCCUUACUUCAAUUUUAUCAAAUUAAAUCAUUUUUCAAUUUGAAUGCAUUGAUGUGAAAUUGAGGGAGCACUAAACAAUGUUGAUGCGAGUUUAGGCAAAAUUGGUGGAUCCCAUCUCCUUAGUAAUUUCUUUAUGGAAGUAGCUGCUUUCACACUGCAAACUUGGAUAAUUUGUGGUGGACGAUGAUGAAUGAUUUGACAAUCAAACACAUAAUUUUUAAACACAAAAUUAACGAUAUAUUGAAAUCAUUAUUGAAAUUAUAAUCAAAAUUAAUACAUGUUUUUUUUAUUUGCUUAAGGUGUAAAAACCCUUCAAAAUUUUCAAAAAUAAAAAUAAAAAUUUAAGUCCCUCUUUUUUUUUUUAACACUCAAUUGAGCACUUAAACUUUUAAAAUGUGUCAAAAAUAUCUUUACACUUCUUCAAAAAAAGCGAUUAAACUCUUUUUUUUUUCGCUCAAUUGGGUGCUUGAACUUUCAUAAUGCAUCAAAAAGACCUUUUUUUUUCAAAGAAACAAUUAAGCCUCUAUUUUUUUCCCACUCAAUUGGGUACUUGAACUUUCAUAAUGCAUCAAAAAGCAAUUAAGGCCUUUUUCAUGCAUUAUGAAAGUUCAAGUACCGAAUUGAGUGCAAGAAAAAAAAAGUAGGGGCUUAAUUGCUUUUUUUGAAAAUGUUUGAGGGCCUUUUUGAUGUAUUUUGAAAGUUCAAGUACCCAAAUGAGUGCAUAAAAAGAACAGGGGUUCAAUUGCCAUUUUUGAAAAAGUUUGAGGGCUUUUUGCACCCUUAAACCUCUUUUCUUUUUCUAAAUUUAAUUUAGAACCAACUUUGAGUAAAGACUUGGGAAAUUUAAUUACCAAAAUUUCUUUCCAUGCAAAAAUUUCCCCUAUUUCUUGUUUGAAUUUAAAGCAAUACAAUAUUUUUCUAGCUAGUAAUAGAAAAUGACAGUCAAUUCAUUCCAAGCAAUGCAAAAUUUCCAGUCUGGUGGAAAAUUUGUUUCUUAGAUACUAUUAUUCAACUUUUAAGGCAUAAGUUUGAAUAUAGGGACUACAUUUUUAAAGUGUUGUUUACUACACACUUAGGGACCAUAUAUGUGUAUAUAUAUAUAUAUAUAUUCCAGUCUGGGUCUUUGUCGUGUUUUGUUGGUUGGCUAUGGCCUUGUUGCUGUUUCCACUGUCUGUGGUCUUUGUUUCUAAGUCAUAUGUGGCCUUGUUUGCUACAACUUAGUUGCUAAGUUAAAGGGAGUUAAUAGAGCACCAUUUUCUUCUUUUGCGUGGAAAAUAAGUUGGCGUUAUGCCAAUUUCCACAUUCAUACAUAUAAUGGAAGCAAGAGCAAGUCAAUAUACUUUGUAAUCUCAUCACUUCUUCUUCUUUCUUUGGGGAGUUCAAAUGAAAUACAAAUUUUGAGUAAAUCAACUAUUCAUUGACGGUACAAACGAGUUAAAAUUUCCAGCAUUCAUGUCUUUGUUUUCCCUCAAGUAAACGUAGUCAAUACUGCAAAUGGUGUGGAAGUAUUGUACAUUGUGGCCCAAAUGUCCAAAAUUUCCCCAUUGCUUGUAAAUGAAAUUUGGGUGAGAGAGAUGGGAGGAAGCAACAGCAAGUGUGAAGUCAAUAGACAAUUGACAGUCUUUAUUCUUUUGUGUGGAAAAUUAUUUGGGACCAAACUUGACUUGUUAUAAGGAAGAAGACUUUGUAAUCUCAUAAAUGUUAAUUAUUUUACUUCUUUGGUAAAAAAAAAAGUAAUCAAUUUUAUGAAUGAAAAAUAUAUGGUAAAGAGGAAGUAGUUGUUGAUCACUAAUAACAUGAUGAUUGUGGAAAUACAAAAAUUCCCGUAUAUGUGUUGAAUUCUGCAUAAUGUAAAUGUCCCGCAUUGCAUGUGAAUUCUGCAAUAAACUAAACUUUACGUGUUAUAGUUCUUUAAACCGAGUUAAUGAAAAGUAACCAUUCUUAUCAAAAUUAGUUAUACUCCUAAUUUAUAACAAAGGAAAUAAUAAUUUGAGUUUAACUCAAAGGUUAAUAUGUCAUCAAUGGGCGAUGGCGUGGUGCUACCAUGUCAGCGAUUAUUUUCUUCUUUGAGUUAAGGUGAUUUCACCAAUUUUAGGUUACUUUUUUACUUCAAUUUAGGUUUAUGCUUAUUAGCUUCGAAGAUUCUAAGUGGGUGCCACAAUCAAAGGGUGAGUAAAAAGGGUUAAAAAUGAUUUUUUUUAAAAAAUAUUUUUAUUUUUUUAUUAAAAAUUUAGAAUUAGAAUUAGACAAAUUUUGUAAAUGUUAAGGCUAACUUUAUUGAAUUUUUUUUUUCAGAAUUUGAACUAAAAUGACAAAUUUUGUAAAAAGCACUAAAUUUGUUGAAUUUUUUACAUUUAGGAUCAAAUUGAUAGAAUGUGUAAAUAUUAGAGGUUAAAUUUGUUAUUAGAUGAAUAAAAAAAACCCACAUCAACUUUCCAUCACUCAUCUAACGACAACUAAAGGGAGAGUGAUUAAAAUAUUUAAUUUCAAAAAGUUUAGCAACUAAAUUGGAAAAUUUAAUAGUUGGGUGACUAUUUUUAUAGUUUACAAUUUUUUUGGUCACCUGACUAUUAAGUGACACGUUUUAGUUGGUAUAAUAAUAAUUUUAGUCCUCAAUUUUUAUACUUUCUGUCAAUUUAACUCUAAUUAUAUAAAAUGAUUACAAAAGUGAAAUUCUUUUUAAAUUUUACAAAAUUCUAAAAAUUAAAUGAAAGUAGAUAAAAAUUUCAAAUAUAAAUAAAGUGAGAGAAAAUGAGGAAAAUAUUAUUUUUAAACCCUCCAAAUUUUAUUUGUAUUAUCUGUAAAGCAAUAUCUAAUAUCCAUUCUUUUAGAAAACAUAGAAAAAGGUAAAAAAAAGCUUAAGUAAAAUUAUCUGUAUAUAAUCUGCUUUUAUAAUUUGGGUUUUUAAAAAUAAAUUUAAAUGAAUUGAAAAUUUGAAUUGAGUUUGAAAAAGAAAAUUUUGUGGUAUAUUUUAUAUUUUUGCUAGAAAAAUAGCAUCAAAGUCGAUUUCGUAAGCUUUUGUAAUAUCAGUUACGGAUGUUCUUCAAGGGCAUAGAACUCAACUUGAAAAUUUUACUAAUUUGGUUACAAAAAAACAUUGAGGAAGCAUAUAAUGAUCUAACUUUUUUUUUCUGUUUUUAAUUUGUUAUGGGAUUCUAUUGAAUGAUAAUUUUUUUUAUUUCCCGUAUUUAGUUCUUCAACAACAACAUAUUCGAGAUUUUAUUUUUCUAGAAUUUUUACAUAAAAGUAAAGUUUGUAUUUUUUAAAAUAAUUUUGAGUUUUUUAUAAUUUUUAUAUAGAAUCGAGGUAAAUUGGCAAAAAAAUUAUAAAAACAAAAUACUAAAAUUGUUUAGUUAAGUGACCAAAACGAAAAUCUACCCAUAGUUCAGUGACUAAUUAUGUAGUUUACCCUUCAUAAUUAAAAAAAUAGCUGUUAAGUUUUUCUUGUAUUAGAUAACAUUUUAGAUGGUAAAAACCCUCUUUAGUCCCUCUCAAUUUUGAUAUUAAGUAAAUUGAUCCAUUUUAAAAAAAAAAUCAAAGCAAUUUAAUCUUUGUUAAUUUCGAAAGUGAACAACUAAAGAUAAUUAAUCACAAUGUCAAUAUUUUCCAUCAAUUGUACAUAUUUUUAUUGGUAUAAUAACAAAUUUAGCUCUCGAAGUUUACACAUUCUGUCAAUUUGGUCUUGAUUUAACAAAUUUAGCCCGCAACAAUUACAUAUUCUAUUAACAUUUACACAUAAUAUAUAAACAUCGAGAGCUUAAUUUGUUAUUAUAUCUGUAAUACCCAAAUUUUGCCCGGCCCAAGCCCAAGUAUCAAAACCCAAAUAAAAAAUAUACAUAAUAAAAGUCCAAUAACAUCAGUCCAGAUUACAAACCAAAUAAAUUAAGCCCAAACUCGAUUACAAAGUCCAAAUUCCCAAGCACAAACUGUUAACCCAACACUCCAGCCCCAAAUUAUUAGCCCAAAAUCAAACCCACUAAGCCUAAUCAGCCAACCCUAACCCGAACGGCCUACAUACCUAGCCCUAAAACAUUUUCAAAAAAACCUAAAGCAACUAUUUGCCUCAGCCGCCGCAACAGUAGCCUCCCACACGCGCGCCUCUCAUUAUCUUGAAGUAUCUUUUUGAAAUUGAUUAUUAAUUUAUGGGGUGCUUAAUUAUUGAUAUUAGUAUUUGUAUGAUAUGACUAAAAUAAUUAUUGUUAUUUGCAUUUACCUAUUAUUUGUUUGUCUUCUUAAUGUAUGUUUGGGUUGUUAUUUAUCCUUUUCGUUAUGUAUUGCUAUUCAAUCAUGUUUCAUUUGUAAGAAUUGUAUUUUUAAAGCACAACAGAUCAUUCUAUUUCAUAAUUUUCAAAAAGGCCUGAUGUUCAUAGCUCUCGAGAGAAUUGUGCCCUAACUUACUGGGCUUCAAUUCUUCUCGAUGAAUUUGAAUAGCCAAGUGUUUAUUGUAUUAAAACCACACAACUUUUAAAAUAAAGUUUUCAAGAUUUUAAAUUGUUGGAUCCUAACUUACUGGAUGUGGCAUUUUGUUAUCCCAAUUUUAAAAUAAAGGCAAUGUUUGACGUUUAAGAACUUCGAGAAAUCGAAACCUAACUUACUGGAUUCUGAUUUCUCAUUUGACUUAAAUGACCGAAUAGCCUUCUCAAAAUGCAUGAAUUUUAAAAUUUGAAAAUUAAAAAGACAUACUUAAUUUUGACGAUUGAAUCGUUGCACUCUAACUUACUGAGUGUGGCAAUUUAUUUCUUUGAAAUGAGUGUGUUUUAUUAUUCAAAUUUAAACUUUAAAAGGAUCGUAUUUUUCGACACUAAGACAUUAAACAAUCGAUUCGGUACCAAUUUUGGGCGUUACGAGGGUACUAACCCUUCCUCGUGCGUAACCGACUCCCGAACCUAUUUUCUCAAAAUUCGUAGACCUAAAAUUAUUUUCAAGGUGAUCCGGUCACACCUCAACAAAAGAUCGGUGGCGACUCCCAUUUUCAUUUUCAAAGUCGAUUCCCAUUUUUAAAACAUAAAAAAUGGUUUCGGCAAUAUCAAUAAAAAUUAUGUACAAUUUACAGAAAGCAUUAACACAAUGAUUAAUUGUCCUUAGUUGCUCCCUUUCAAAAUUAAUAAUGAUUAAAUUGCUCUAAUUUUCUGAGAGGAACCAAUUUGUUCAAUAUAGAAAUUGAGAGGGACGAGAAAUGUGUUUUUAUCCAUUUUAGAUACCAACAAGUGUUUGGCGUAGUGGCAAGGCAUAUUACAUUCUCAAGGAGAGAAUGCGUAUUCAAACGUUGGAGAUAACAAUGUUGUGUGGGGUAUCCACGGAUUUGAACACGGACUAUAAAACAUAUAUAAAGAAUAAAAAGAAUAACAUCUUAAUUUAAAUAAUUAAUAAAUUUUAAUUUGAAAAAAGUAUUUUGAGAAACAUAAGUUUUAGUAAGUAGUAAAAUUGAAUCGAUAAAACAUGUCCAUUAUAUCAGAAUCAUAAAAAUACAACUUAAUUAAUUUGAAUUUAAACUUAACUCAACUCGAUUUUGAUUAUAAAGAACUGAUAAUUUGAAUCCAAAAUGACAUGAUCUUGAAAUGAUUUGAAUUAAUUGUCAAACCUGAACGACAAGACUCGAAAUGAUGCAAUCCAAAAACACAAAUAAAAUGAACUAAACUAUGAAAGAAAAAAAAAACCUUACACCGACUCAAAUCCAAAAUAAUUUAAUCAUAAAAUAACCCAAAUUUUAUAUAAUAUAAACUCGAAAUAACCCAAAAAUUUUUAAAUUAAAAUUGACCCGACCCAAAUUCACACCACCUAAAAUCAAUCGUAACCACCUAAUUAAAAAGCAUGAAAUGAAAUGAUGUAAAGAGAAAAUUAGAGAAAACCAAAUAGAAAGUAACAAGCUUUUUUCAGAAUUGAAAGCAAAUUCCGUACAUUCACGACAUGCAUAAAACAACAAUGGUUUAUAGAAUUUGAGUUUUAGUCCCUGUACUUUAAAAGUUAAUUUUUCUUAAUUUAAAAAUUUUAGUUUAAUCAUUCAUGUUGGUUGUAGUUUCCAUUAGCUUAAUCAACAUGUUAAAUUAUUAAAUUUUGAUAUAAAAUAUUUACGAGUUUAAUAAUUAUACUGAGAUUUUUAAAUAAAAAAGUUGGAAGACUUAAUUUCUAACAUUUUAAAUAUAGGGACUAAAAGCAUCUUUUAACUUUGAUAUUAUUAUUAUAAGCAGGGAUAAUGUCAUCUUUGGCAUCUGUACUUUUAUAAAAUGUCUAGUGGUACAAGUACUUUGAAAAUAUAUAAUGUGGUACCUGAACUAUCAAUAUGUGUUAUUAUUAUGGUACAUGUACUUUGAAAAUGUUUAAUGUGGUACCUAAACUAUCAAUAUAUAUUUUAUUAUGAUACUUGAUAAAGAUGGACUAUUAUUGGUAGCUUAAGGGGCUCUUUGUCCCGCCAUCCCUGCAAAAAAAAAAUUGGAGAAUUUUGUUUUUUCCUUUAAAAUUUUUAGAAAAUUUCAAUUAAGCCCUCAAAAUUUUUGAAAAUUUUCAUUAUACCUUUUAAUUUUUUAAAAAAUUUUAAUUAAGCACUCUUAAAUUUUGAAAAUUCUCAUUAAUCUCACAAAAAUUUUAAUUUUUUUAAAAAAAAUAUUAUUAAACCAUUAAAUUUUUAGAAAAUUUUACCUGCCCCCUCCCCCAAAAAAAAACCUAGUCCCAACCCCUAGGAUCCGCCAUUGGUACUUGGUAUUAACACUGUUAGAAAAUUGCUAAAUAAACCAAUGAAAAUUUGACACAUAGAACCCUUUUUUUAAUUAUCAAGUCCACGUGGAUAAAAUAAUAGUGAAAAACUAAAUAAAACAAUAAUUAAAUGAAAUAAAAAAACAAAUAACUAAACAUAUGGUUAAUAAAAAAAAGCCGUACUUUCAAAGAUAAUAAAAAAUAUUAUUUAAAAAUCAAUUGAAAAUAUUAUUUUAAAAGGAAAACUCUUUGGAGAAGAUGAUCAUUUGCUUAAAUGGAGAAUAUAAUAUUUUUGGUUAUGCAAGUUUAGUAUUUACUUCUUUUUUAUUAAUCAUAUGUUUAGUUUUUUUAAUUAAUUUAAUUGUUUUAUUUAGUUUUUCACAUAAUGUUAUUUUACACAUGCGGACUUGAUGAAUUAGAAAAAAAUAUUACGUGUUAAAUUUUCAUUGGUUGGUCUAAUAAUUCAUUAACGGUGGAUUUGUUCUACAUUGAUGACAAAGAUGUGGAGUUUAAAGAAGUAAGAACUUAUCAACAAUAUUCGAGGUUCUGUUGUAUGUUGCCUUAUUAAAGAAGUCUUCACUUAAAAUCUUCUAUGUUGCCUUAUGUAUGUAGGUUCUUGAGUCACCUUUGCCAAAAGCACCACAUGAUACAUCUGUUACAUCCCACUGGCUUGCGAUUUAAGGCAUUCAACCAGUAAUUCCAGAAAAUGCUUCAAUUGAAGGUACCGUCUUAGCUAACCUAAAUAUUCUCUCGAAGCUAUUUGUGUUGAAGACUCUCAUGGUUCAUGUUCUUUUCUGGUUUUAUCACUUUAAUCUAAUACGAGUUAUCUUCAUUUCUACAUGGAAUUGGUAUUUUGCUUUCCAUGCAGCACCUUCUGAUGGUAAAAAGGCUGAAUACAAAGAAGAUGGGCUUUCCGUUGAUGUCAAAUUAUUUGUUAAACAUGUAUUAUCUAGAGAGCUUCAAGUAUGUUGUACAUCUUCAGCAACAUUUUUAUGUUAAAAUACAUUUUGCACAGAAUGAUAUUAAAAGACUAAUUUGGUUGUCAUGCAGCUUUACUUUGACAAGAUCGUGGACAUUACCAUGAAUAAAUCAGUAUCAAUUCUCUUUAAACAAGCAUUACUGAGUUUGGCAACAGACUCGGGAUUACAUCCUUUAGUUCCUUAUUUUACAUAUUUCAUUGCGGAUGAGGUUGUCUUAAAGAUCUUUCAUACCUCAUUAUAUAUGUGUGUUGCAAAGAACUUUUGGUUGGUUAUCUCAAGCUUACAUUUUUGCCACAUUUAUCUCAGGUUGCACGGAAUUUGAAUAAAUUCCCUCUCAUGUUUGCUUUGAUGCGUGUUGCCCGGAGUCUUCUCGAGAAUGAACACUUACACAUAGAACCUUACGUGAGUUUAUUAUUUCAAUCAUUUAGAAGUACACGAACUAAUGCAAAUAUGCUAGUGGUUUAUUUUCCACCUAUCUGAUUUUUUAAAAUGUUCUUCAGUUACACCAGUUGAUGCCAUCUAUUAUUACCUGCCUUGUUGCAAAAAGGUUAGGAAAUAAAUUCACCGACAAUCAUUGGGAACUUAGAAACUUUGCAGCAAAGCUAGUGGCAUCAAUAUGCAAAAGGUGAAGAUUUCUUUUCUUUUGGACUUAUACAUGCAUAUUCGUUUUUAUGAAUUUCAGGUGUCGAGUUUUUAGUUAUAAACUUGGACCUAUUCUUCAAAUCAUGUGUAUAUCAUUUUUAUGCUAUUUCACACAUGCAAAACAAAUGGUGCAAGCAUGCAUGUUAUAUGCACAGAAUUGUUGAAAGCUGGACUGCAAUGCAACAUGGAGCCAGAAGCAUGCAACUGUCGAGACCAGCAGCUAUCAAGCUCAGCUCAUUUUGCUUGGAGCGCACGAAUGGUUUUUGGACCAAAUGAAGCAACUGACAUUGCUGUUUUGUUUUGAUGUAAUUUAGUUCAGUUUGAUUGUAACUAGCUUUAAUAGUUAGUAGGAUUAAGUUAGUGAUUAGAUAGCUGAUGUAAAAGCUGAUAUGGCAGCUCAUUUUGUAUUUGACUUUAACUUAUUUUGGUUGUAAAUUAGUGGAUGCAGUUAGAUUAGUAGGUAACUAUCAAAUGAACAAAUUGUAACUCCUUUUUAUUUCAAAAAAUUUUGGAUGAAACGUAAUAAUGUUCAGUUACAAUUCUGGCUGUACAUUCAAGUUUCUUGCUUGCUGCUCUGCUUGUUUUUCUUUUCUGCUUCGUUUACUCUUGCUUCUGCUUGCAAAUCUCUUUGUUGCUGCUGCCAUUGUUCCAACAAGAAUACAUAGAUUAAUUACGUGUGGAUCAUUAAGAAUGCCUAUGUAUUGGAAAUUGGCCAACCAUGCUGCUGUUACAUUUUGUGUUGAAGUGCAUGCAGCUUGAUGACAUGCUGCAGCACAUAUGCUUGCUGUAACAGCAAGGUUUCUCUUUAGUUUCAUCCUAAUUAAACUAGUUGAAAAUGAACAAGUUGAUGACAACUUGAUGCAUGAGGUGUUGAAUGAUUAGUUUAGGUGGCUUGUUUAUGUGUACAAGCAAUGUUUUAAUAGUCCCAAUGCUGAUUAGUGGGGUUAGUUGACUAUUUGGUGAUGUAUUUGACUAUAAAUGUAUGUUUUUUUUCGUUGAAUGAAUGAGCUGAAUAAGCUAUCAGCCAUAUGCUCCCUUGCUGCACAUUUGUGAGCAAGUAAAAAUACUUCUUGCAUCUUGCUUCAUUGUUCUGUGCUCUCUGUUCUCUUCUUUUGCUGCUGCCAAUGCUCCAACACUAUGUUUGACCAUUGUGUGUGGCUACUUUUUUUUUACAUGAUCCAAUUUUCGAUAUGAUAUGCUUUGCUUUUAGGUUGAAUGCGGAAAAGAUUAGAACUUAAUUUCCAGCAUAAUGAUUUGUCUUGGAUAUGCAGAUUUUUACAUGCAUUUCUUAAAAGUCAAUAUUUUAUAGAUUCGGGCAUGUUUAUCACAACCUUCAGCCACGUGUGACAAGGACACUGCUCCACGCUUUUUUGGACCCAACGAAAACAUUUCCCCAGCAUUACGGAGCAAUUCAAGGGUUAGCAUGUUAGAAAUCAAACCCACUCCAAGCAUAAUCUAGAAGCAUGAGACGUGGAGCAAUUUUGUGCCAUGCAAAGUGCUGAAAUUUUAGCCAUACAAAGUGCUCCAUUAUUGAGAUGUUUUGUGGCUGGAAAUUAAGUGGAUUAAUAGCCACAUUUGUUGUCACUUUAUCAGCCUAUAAAUAGAGGCUUGAACUUGUGUUGUAAAAAAGAAGAAAAAUGAGAAGAAAAAAGAAAUAAGAGAAGCAACGUGAGUGAGAGUGAGAAGGUUAGCAAACCUUGAGUGAGUUAAAAUCUAGCAGCAGCUAGACUAUCUAGUCAUUGAGAAAAUAUUUGUAAUCUUCGUAUUGUAAUAUAUUGAGUGUGUAAUAAAAAGUAAAUUUUCGGCCCAUCACGUUUCCAACAAGUGGCAUCAGAGCUACGGUUCGGAGCUUGGUUCGGAGUUCGGUUCGUGUCCGGUUCGUGUCCAGUUCGGAGUACCUUUGGUGUUCAUCUAACAAGUCGAUAUGGGCGACGUAAUUCAGCUACAAGUUCCACAAUUGACGAAGACAAAUUAUGGAAAUUGGAGCAUUCGAAUGAAGGCUUUGCUCGGUUCGCAAGAUUGUUGGGAGAUCGUUGAAAAAGGAUACAUCGAGCCCGGAGAUGCCGCUACAGAAGCAGCUUUAUCAAAUGACGCUAAGAAGGCGUUACGAGAAGCACGAAAGAAGGAUCAAAAGGCCUUGAAUAGUAUCUUUCAAGGUAUGGAUGAAUCAACCUUCGAGAAAAUAUCAGAUGUGAAGAACGCGAAGAAUGCAUGGGAGAUUUUGCAAAAAUCAUUUCAAGGUGUAGAAAAAGCUAAAAAGGUACGCCUUCAGUCACUUAGAGCUGAAUUUGAAAUGUUAAAAAUGAAGAGCUCCGAGAAUAUCGAUGACUAUGCCAAUCGUGUAAAAUCGGUGGUAAAUGAAAUGAAACGAAAUGGAGAAACUCUUGACGAGGUAAGAAUGAUGGAGAAAAUUCUACGGUCACUCACACGCAAAUUCGAGUACGUAGUCGUUGCCAUCGAAGAAUCAAAAGAUUUGUCAAAGAUGUCGCUCGAAGAACUUGUGGGUUCUCUGCAAGCCCAUGAGCAAAAGAUGAAGCUAAAUGAAGAUAGUGAAAAUCUUGAUCAAGCCUUGCAUAGCAAGUUGUCCGUCGACGACGGAGAAACAAGUAAUAACUUUAACCAAGGAAGAGGAAACCGCAGAGGAUACCGUGGAGGCUACCGUGGUGGAAACAGAGGAGGAAGAGGAUCACGAGGACGUGGAAAUCAAUCAUAUGGGAGAUAUCAAGAAAAUAAAGAUUAUCAAACAUCCAACCGUGGACGUGGAUCUAGAGGUCGUGGCCGAGGCAGAUUUCAAGAAAAUAAAUCUCAGGUACAAUGCUACAACUGUAACAAGUAUGGACAUUUCAGUUACGAGUGCAGAUCAACACACAAAGUGGAUGAAAGAAACCAUGUAGCAGUCAUAGCAGAAGGCAACGAAAAAGUGGAAUCAAGUGUCUUUCUCACUUACGGAGAAAAUGAAGAUCGCAAGAGAAGUGUGUGGUAUCUCGACAACGGUGCAAGCAACCACAUGUGUGGAAGAAAGGAGCUGUUCACAGAAUUAGAUGAAACAGUUCAUGGACAAAUAACUUUUGGAGACAACUCACAUGCAGAAAUCAAAGGAAAGGGCAAGGUUGUUAUAACACAAAGGAAUGGAGAGAAGAAGUACAUCUCAGACGUUUACUACGUACCAGCUUUGAAGAGCAACCUGAUCAGUCUUGGUCAACUCCUAGAAAAAGGAUAUGAAGUUCAUAUGAAAGACCGCUCACUCGCCAUCAGGAACAAAAGUGGAGAAUUAGUUGUUCGAGUUGAUAUGACGCGAAAUCGUCUUUUCACCCUCGACAUCGAGUCUGGAGAAGUAAAAUGCAUGAAGACGGAUCUGAAGAAUGAAUCAUGGUUGUGGCACUUAAGGUACGGACAUCUCGGAUUUUCUGGCUUGAAGCUGUUGUCGAAGACAAAUAUGGUGAAUGGAUUACCAAGUAUUAAUCAUCCAGAUCAACUGUGUGAAGCCUGUGUCAAAGGAAAGUAGCAUAGGCAGAAAUUUGAAGUAGGAAAAUCUCGAAGAGCUAGAAGACCAUUGGAAAUUGUACACACCGACAUAUCUGGUCCGUACGACAUUGAAUCACUCGGUGGAAACAGGUACUACCUAACUUUUAUUGAUGAUUAUAGCAGAAAAUGUUGGGUUUAUUUUCUCAAAGCAAAAUCGGAAGCCCUAGAAAAAUUCAAGGAGUUCAAAGCAAUGGUGGAAAAACAGAGUGGUCGAUAUUUGAAGAUACUCAGAUCCGAUAGAGGAGGCGAGUAUACUGCAAAGCUUUAUGAAAGUUUCUGCAAAGAUCAUGGAAUCAUUCAUCAGUUAACAGCCAGACGCACUCCACAACAAAACGGAGUUGCAGAAAGGAAGAAUCGGACAAUUCUGGAUAUGGCAAGAAGCAUGAUAAAAGGUAAACACCUUCCGAGAAAUUUCUGGGCUGAAGCCGUUGAAUGCGCAGUUUAUCUGUUGAAUCAAUGUCCAACAAAAAGUGUAAGACACAAGACACCAGAAGAAGCAUGGAGCGAUCACAAGCCAAGAGUUGGACACCUCAAAAUUUUUGGAUGCAUUGCAUAUGCACACGUUCCUGAGCAACAGAGGAAAAAGCUUGACGAUAGAGGAGAGAAGUGUAUCUUUAUAGGCUAUGACAAAAGAAGUAAGGCCUACAGACUUUAUAAUCCUCUUACUAAGAAAUUGAUUAUCUCAAGAGAUGUCGAGUUCGAUGAAGCGGAUUACUGGAGAUGGAGUGAAGAAGAAAAGAAAGUGGAAGGAUUAUUUUUCAACGAAGACGACAAUGAUGUCAUCAACCAAGAAGAACAAGGCGAUGAUCAAAGUCCUGGUACAACAGCCCCUUCGUCACCAACCAGCAGCAGCGGAAGCAGCAGCUCAGAUGAAGCACCCACAAGAACACGGAGUCUCAACGACAUCUACAAUUCUACGGAACCUGUAGAGACGCAGUUCGAUUAUUCACUAUUCUGUCUAAUGACAGAAUGUGAUCCAGUGACAUACGAAGAAGCAAUUGAAGACAAUAAAUGGAAGAAGGCCAUGGACGAGGAGAUUGCUGCAAUAAGAAGGAAUGACACGUGGGAGCUAACAAGUCUGCCAGAAGGACAUAGCCCGAUUGGUGUCAAGUGGGUGUACAAGACGAAGACCAACAAAGAAGGAAAAGUAGAGAAAUACAAGGCAAGACUAGUCGCCAAAGGCUACAAGCAAAGACAAGGAGUGGACUAUGAUGAAAUAUUUGCUCCAGUCGCAAGAAUAGACACAAUUAGGCUUCUCAUAGCGGUCGCAGCACAAUACAAAUGGAAAAUCUAUCAGAUGGACGUCAAGUCUGCAUUCCUGAAUGGCUACUUGGAGGAGGAAGUCUACAUAGAACAACCACCUGGAUAUAGCAUACAAGGAAAGGAGGACAAAGUCUACCGAUUAAAGAAAGCUUUGUAUGGAUUGAAGCAAGCCCCAAGAGCAUGGAACACAAGGAUCGACGAGUACUUCCGAAGAAAUGGAUUCAUCAAAAGCCCGCACGAGCACACCCUGUACACAAAGAAGAAUGGAUAUGGAGAUAUCAUGAUCGUAUGCCUAUAUGUGGAUGACAUGAUCUUCACCGGAAACAAUCCAGGUAUGUCUGAUGAUUUCAAGAAAGCUAUGACUAAAGAAUUUGAAAUGACAGAUAUCGGUGAGAUGUCAUACUUUCUUGGAGUCGAGGUGAAACAAAUGCAAGAUGGAAUUUUUGUCUCUCAAAAGAAGUAUGCGGAGCAGAUUUUGAACAAGUUCAAAAUGAAGGAUUGCAAGCCAGUAGUCACGCCAGCUGAUCCAGGGAUGAAGCUAAGUGUUGAUUCGACAAGGGAGUCGAUAAAUCCGACGUUGUUUAAAAGUCUCGUUGGAAGUUUAAGGUAUUUGACAAUCACACGACCAGAUAUUACAUAUGCAGUAGGAUUGGUGAGCAGAUUCAUGGAGAAGCCGAAGCAAGACCACUUAAUUGCCGCAAAAAGAAUUUUGAGAUAUAUCAAAGGUACGAUGAACCAUGGUUUAUUCUAUACCCACUCACAAGAUUCAAAAUUAGUUGGCUACUCAGAUAGCGAUUAUGGGGGAGACUUGGAUGAUCGGAAAAGCACUUCCGGAUAUGCAUUCCACAUCAAUUCCGCAGUUUUUUCAUGGUCGUCAAAGAAGCAACAAACAAUUGCUCUCUCAACAUGUGAAGCAGAGUAUAUGGCCGCAGCAACUUGUACAUGCCAAGCAAUGUGGUUGAAGAAUAUUUUGGGAGAAAUAGGUGUUUCAAAUGAAGGUCCAAUUACCAUCUACGUUGACAACAAAUCCGCUAUAUCACUUGCCAAGAAUCCGGUGUCGCACAGCCGAAGCAAGCACAUCGAUACGAAGUAUCAUUUUAUCCGAGAGCAAGUGAAAAACAAAAACGUGGAGUUGGUCCAUUGCAGGACAGAAGAUCAACUGGCAGAUAUUUUCACAAAGCCGUUGAAAGUGGAGACAUUCAACAAAUUCAAAGAGAAGCUCGGUAUGAAAGUUGGGUUUGAGGGGGAGUGUUAGAAAUCAAACCCACUCCAAGCAUAAUCUAGAAGCAUGAGACGUGGAGCAAUUUUGUGCCAUGCAAAGUGCUGAAAUUUUAGCCAUACAAAGUGCUCCAUUAUUGAGAUGUUUUGUGGCUGGAAAUUAAGUGGAUUAAUAGCCACAUUUGUUGUCACUUUAUCAGCCUAUAAAUAGAGGCUUGAACUUGUGUUGUAAAAAAGAAGAAAAAUGAGAAGAAAAAAGAAAUAAGAGAAGCAACGUGAGUGAGAGUGAGAAGGUUAGCAAACCUUGAGUGAGUUAAAAUCUAGCAGCAGCUAGACUAUCUAGUCAUUGAGAAAAUAUUUGUAAUCUUCGUAUUGUAAUAUAUUGAGUGUGUAAUAAAAAGUAAAUUUUCGGCCCAUCACGUUUCCAACAUAGCAUCCCUUGGACCCAGUGUGGUAUAAUUCUAAUCUCAAAUAUUUACUAGCAACACAAUAAGAUACUGGUUUGUGGGAUCAAUUGGUCAAAGAUAUUGCAAUGAUAGCCAUCUUUUUAAGUCCAUUUCUUUCAGAAAACUGUUUUGUCACUCUUUUCUGCAAGAUCCGAAGAAAGAAAGAACUUGGAAAUCUAUAGUCCAAAAGUGUAAAUAUGCGGUUUCUCUAUAGGUAUCUUUAUUAUGGCAUCUGUAAAGUUUGUCUUUCAUAUGUUUGAGUAACGCUUCUUCUUCCAUAUGUAGGUUCGUUUACUUAUACUACCAAAUCUUG